GAUGAACGCUGGCGGCGUGCCUAACACAUGCGAGUCGAACGGAGAUUACGGACGGAAGUUUUCGGAUGGAAGCCUGUAAUUCUUAGUGGCGGACGGGUGAGUAACGCGUGGGCAACCUGCCCUAUACAGGGGGAUAGCAGCUGGAAACGGCUGGUAAGACCGCAUAAGUCGGUUAAAUCGCAUGAUUUGAUCGGGAAAUGAGCAAUCAGGUAUAGGAUGGGCCCGCGUCCGAUUAGCCAGUUGGCAGGGUAAAAGCCUACCAAAGCGACGAUCGGUAGCCGGACUGAGAGGUCGGACGGCCACAUUGGGACUGAGACACGGCCCAAGCUCCUACGGGAGGCAGCAGUGGGGGAUAUUGCACAAUGGAGGAAACUCUGAUGCAGCGACGCCGCGUGAGUGAAGAAGUAUUUCGGUAUGUAAAGCUCUAUCAGCAGGGAAGAUGAUGACGGUACCUGACUAAGAAGCCCCGGCUAACUACGUG
rnacentral:rRNA from 1 species